rnacentral:rRNA from 1 species
CCCUUAGAUGUUCUGGGCCGCACGCGCGCUACACUGAUGCAUUCAACGAGCCUAGCCUUGACCGAGAGGUCCGGGUAAUCUUUGAAACUGCAUCGUGAUGGGGCUAGAUUAUUGCAAUUAUUAAUCUUCAACGAGGAAUGCCUAGUAAGCGUGAUUCAUCAAAUCGCGUUGAUUACGUCCCUGCCCUUUGUACACACCGCCCGUCGCUCCUACCGAUUGAGUGUGUUGGUGAGGAGUUUGGAUUAGCCUCGGAAGGUGGUUCGCCACCGUCCGUAGCUGAGAAGUUCUCCAAACCGCCCCACUUAGAGGAAGGAGAAGUCGUAACA